CUCUAUGCCCCGGUCCCACCCCUUGCUUACCUUGCAGGCGGGAAUGGUGUUGGAGUAUGCGCAUCAUUCGCUAGGAUCGUGAACUGGAACGGAAUGGAGUGCUCUCAAUGCUGCGCGAGGUAGACGGAAAGACAUGUUCGUCUGUCUCAUGUGAAGGCGGUGUCUCAGCAGUUGGAUGUCUGACUGAAUCCUACCUGCACAUGGAGUUGAGGAGUGGUCUGCCCCCAGUGUUACUGCACCAUUGGGUGGCCAGCCCAGAUGGGAUGUUACUUUUUCUCAGAAUGUUCAACAAUUUGAUAACCGGAUAGAAAAUGAGAGAGAGCAGCCAGUUCAGAAACUUCCAAAAUCACUCUGCAUCUCCUUGACCUUAUUGAAUUGCUGCUGUCUGUGUGGUGAAGCUGAUCGGUAAGGACAUAAAGGAUUUUUAUCCGGUGAUGGCAAAGUAGUGCUGAUAUGUCUGCCAGUUACAGUCACUUUGUUUUUAUAUUCCUAUUCUGUUAAAGAUGAUAAUAUAGAAAGCACAAGCAGGUGUAGGCCAUUACGGCAUUCAAUCCUGCUUUGUUAUUAUGAUUGUUCAUGGCUGAUCAUUCGACUCAGUAGCUUGUCCCCACUUUAGACCAAUACCCUUGAAUCUCCUUACCUCUCGGAAAUAUAUCUAUCUUCUUCUUUGAAAAAUUCAUUGUUUUGGCUUGAACUGUUUUGAAUUUCACAGGCUCACCAGUCUCCAUGUAAAGAAAUUUUUCCCUAUUGCAGUCCUAAAAGGCCUAUCCCAUAUCCUUAAACUGUCACUUCCUAGCUCUGGACUCCCUGGUCAGUGGCAGCAUCCUUCCUGUAUUUGCAUUGUUAUUCUUGUUAUAAUUUCAUAAGUUUCUGUGAUGUCCUCUGUCGUUCUUCUAAAUUCCAGUGAAUUUCUUUGUAACCAAUCCAUUAUCUCCUUGCACAGAUGAUGCCUCAUCACUGUCACAUCGUCCCCACAGUGAGACUCUCAUCCUGACAGACUAACUCAUCCUGAAUCCUGCCAUCCCAGGAGUCAGUCUGGUAAACCUUUGUUAUGUAGCCUCCAUAACCAGCACGUGUUUCAUCAGAUAAGUAUUCUAAACCUGCACACAAUAUUCCAGGUGUGGCCUCCACCAAGACCCUGUGCAAUUUCAGCAAGAUAUCCCUGCUCCUGUACUCAAAUUCUCUCACUAUAAAGGCCAACAUAUCAUUUGCCUUGUUCACCUCCUGCUGUACCUGUAUGGCUACUUUCAUUGACUUGUGUAUAAGGAUACGGAGGUGUGUUUCACCUCCCUCUUUCUCAAUCUACUGCCAUUCAGAUCUUGAUCGUCUUGUUUUUGCGAACAGACUGGAUAACCACCCAUUUAUCCACAUUAUCAUUCAUCUGUGUUGUAUUUUUGCCCACUCGCUCAACUCCAAACCACAAUGAAGCCAAACUGCAUCCUCUUCAUAGUUCAUUGUUUCAGCAACCCUUGUGGAGGCAUGGAGAUGUACAGAUUGGGAACAGACCCUUCAGUCCAAUUUGUCUAUGCUGACCAGAUGGCUUAAAUAAAUCUAGUCCCAUUUGUCAACAUUUUGGCACAUAUCCCUCUAAACCCUUCCUAUCCAUAAACUUAUCCAGAAGCCCUUUAGGUGUUGAAAUGAUAGCAGCCUCCACUACUUCCUCUGACAGCCCGUUCUGUACAUGCACCACCCUUGGUGUGAAAAAGUUGCCCUUUACAUCCCUUUUAAAUCUUUCCCCUCUCACCAUAAACCUAUACCCUCUAGUUUUGGACACUCCACUCUGGGGGAAAAGACCUGGCCUAUUUACUCGAUAUCCUUCAUGACUUGAAACCUCUAUAAGGUAUGAUGCUUCAAGGAAAAUAGCCCCAGCCUAUUUAGCCUCUCCCAAUAGCUCAAACCCUCUAAUUCUGGCAACAUCCUUGUAAACCCUUUUAAGUUUCACAAAGUCUUUCCUAUAGCAGGGAAGCCAGAACUGAACACCGUAUUCCAAAAGUUGCUGAACCGAUGUCUUGUACAGCCAUAGCAUGACCUCCCAACUUCUACACUAGAUGCACUGACUCAAAAAGGCAAGCAUACCAAAAACCACCUUCACUAUCCUAUCUACUUGCAUCUCUAUUUUCAUGGAGCUAUGAACCUGUACUCUAAGGUCUCUUUGUUCAGCAACACACCGCAGGACCUUACCAUUAAACAUAUAAACCGUGCCCUGAUUUACCUUUCUAAAAUGGAGCACCUCCUAUUUAACUAAGUUAAACUCCAUCUGCUGCUCCUGAGUCCAUCCGAUCAAGACCGUUUUACACCGAGAUAACCUUCUUCACUCUCCAUUACACCAUCAAUUUUUGGUGUCAUCUGCUAUCUUACUCAAUAUAUCUGCUGUGCUCAUAUGAAUCAUUUUUAUGUAAGUGACAAAAAGCAGUAGACCUAUCACUUACUCUUGCAGCACACCAAUGAUCUCCAUUUCGAAAAACAACCCUCCUUCACCGCCCUCUGUCUACUACCUUCAAGCCAGUUAUGUACCCACGUGACUAUUUCUCCCUCUAUUCCUUGUGACCUAACCUUGCCAACCAGUCUACUGUGUGGAAUCUUGUCUAACGCUUUACUGAAGUCCUUAUAGCCCAUGUCCACUGCUCUGCCUUCAUCAACUCUCUUCAUUACAUGUUUUCUACAUGCUUGGGGAUAUGAUAUCCAAGUUUCUUCAUCUAAUUGAUUAAUGUAUGUUGUGAAUAGGGGAAGUGAUUUCCUCAUGGUAUUAUUACUGGACUGUUAAUCCAGCAAUAACCCCGUUAAUAUUUUGGCUACCUGACUUCAAAUCCCGCCAUGGCAGAUAGUGGAAUUUGAGUUAAAUUUUCUUUUAAAAAAGAUAACUGGAAUUAGGAGUCUAACGAUGACCACGGAUCCAUUGUUGAUUGUUGGAAAAACACAUCUGGUUCGCUAAUGCCCUUUAGGGAAGAAAACUGCUAUCCUGACCCAGUCUGGCCUACACAUUGACUCAUAACUGAAUGAAUAAAGAAUAACUGGGAUCUAACCACUGAUUCCUGCAGUACCACAGUAGACACUGCUGCCAUUUUUAAAAAAAACACGAGCUGCUUAUUCUGACUGUUUCCUGUCUGCUGACCAGUUCUGUAUCUGUGUGAUACACUACUCCCAAUUCCCUGUGCUUUAAUUUUGCAUGCUCAUCUCUGCUGUGGAACCUUUUUGUCGUCUGAAAGCCCAAGCCGAAGUGAACCACAUCUGCUGCCUCCUUAUUGACCCUAAAUGUUGCAUUCUUGAAACUUUCCAGCAUCUGCUGGGGAGUUGAGACUGUCACACAUCUCCUGCUGGAAUAUGCCUUUCCAAAAGAUGUCUGGAGAUAGAUGCACUGGGAUUUGUUGAGGUUUGUCCUGAGCAGCUCCGUGAUGCAGGACUCCAUGCUGUAUGAUCUCUUUCCUGGGACGCACACCAAGAAAAACACAACUGCGCUUGAAGGACCAUCAGUUUGGUGAAAAGACGCUCUUUGGUCUGUCUGAAACUUACUGAUCUUCCAGGUGAAAGAAUUGAUCCUGACCAAGUGUUGCAGACUGGCUGCAGCCAAUCUAACUCUCGGACUGUGUGCUGAAGGACGUGCUAAAGCUGGGGACAGCUGUUGCCAAAGCGGAUUGAGGAAAGACCACUGUCUAAGGUCUUUCUGCCAAAGUACAACAGGGGUAUGUUCAGUUGUUGGACCUUCGCAAUGGCUCAGAUAUAUGUAAAUAGAUCCUAGUACCCGGCAUAUUUCAGAAAUGCAUUGAGAUUAGUUGCAAUCAUCACAAGUCAAAGCCCAAAUUUUGUUUUCUUCUCUGUACGCAAAAGCUGUUUAGAUCUGAAGUGCUUUAGUAACUGUAUGUACAUAAAGAUUCCCUUUCUUAAGAAUAAAAUAUCUUUUGCAAAAAAAUGUUCUCAACAACAGUUCUGAUCUAAUUUGCAUCAGAUUUUAUCGUUGCAACACAAGUAAUGCUAAAGAGGCCAGCAUUCACUGCUCUGCUGCUGUGACAGUUCUCACAUUGUGCUGUUCAGUGAGGAGUUAUACCUGCUGUCUGACAAUCCUCUAAAGAAACCGUGACAUGUAUCCACAACAGAACAGUGUGUUUCUGGUUAUAGAUUUGGGAUUUAUAGGUGAUGAUUCCCUAAACACGCUGGUCUUAACUUUGUUGGAGGAAGGAUCUGUCACAGUUAUUCUUGUGAUGUAAAUGAGGAAAACAUGUCCUUAAUUAUCCCUCUGCUCCUACCGUCUCUCUCUUCCCUUUGAGGGCAAAGUUUUUUUUGUGUAGGCCUGGGACAAGCAGUUGGUCCCCUUCCCUGAACCUCCUCCACGAUAACCCUCAACACUGGAGCCCCCAGGACUGUGUUCUCAGCUCCCUACUGUACUCUGUAUAUACACGACUGUGUGCCCACAUUCAAAAUGAAUGCCACCAGAGUUUUCUGACAUCCACCAUGGUGCUACCCUGUGUAUACUGUUGGAGUCUCAAUGCCAGUUUUGGUUGUUCAACCUCACCCCCAACCCUCCCUGAACCAGCCAGCCUGAAGCAAACUUCUGGAACAGUGAGUAUCCCCUCCCCAGUCUCUCCUUAACUCUGUUCAUCCCUCCCUGUCUUUUUACUGCUUCUCUCCCUCUUUUUUGUUCCCUUGAUUCUCCCUCGAAACUGCCUGAGCUGCUGAGGAUUUGCAGCACUUUCACUUUCUUGUGAAUGUCCUGUGGCACAUUCUGUGUCUGUUGUCAGGAUUACUCUUAGAACCCAGUCUUGAACCGCAGGUGUAUCCAGUAAAGAGCUGCUUCACGUCAACAUGAUGAUUGGAUAUGGAAGUCUGUCCCUGGCCUGUUGUGUGGGUCACUUUUUUGGUGUUUCAUUUUCAUUCAGAGGGGAGAGCAAAGAGAAGCUGCUGGGUUUAGCCCACAGUGCUGCUGAGAAUGACUGCUGCAAUAACUUGCAGUGGGAGGCUGUCACAGAAAAUAUUCCCAGGGUUAGUUUCUAAACGGAAGAUGUUCAAAGUUCAGGCAUUUACUUCAGGAAGAGGCUUUUCUCAGGAACAGUUCAAGUAUACUUUUAUACUUAAUUUUAUUGCUAGGACUAUGAGCAAGGCUAAAGAGGCCAGCUUUCACUGCUGUGCUGCUGUGACAGUUCUCCCAUAGUGCUGUUCAGUGAGGAGCUGCAGGAUUGUUAGGCAGCAGCUGUAAAGAAACAGUGACGAGCCCACAAGAGGGCAGAGUGUGCUUGGGAGUGGAGUUUAUAGGUGAUGGUUUUCCAUUCACUCUGGUCUGGACCUUAUUGGAGUGAGGAUCUGACAAAGUCAUCCCUGUGAUGUAAAUGGAGGAAACAGUGUCCUUAAGUAUCCCACUGUUCUCACUGCCUCUCCUCCCUUUUGAGGGCUGAAGCUUACGGAGACCCAGGGCAGUGGAUCCCCUUCUCUGAAUGACAUUGAUGAACAAGUUGAGUAUAUUUUUACAUGGUCAAUAUUUCAGAGUGUCUUUCACGCAAAUUACCAGAUUCAUUGACCUCCAUUUCACAAACUCCUUUUACUGUCCUAAACAGCUCUCUUUCACUUUUUCACCUUUUCGUGACUGAAAAUUGUUUUACAGAGAAUCACUGAAUUCCAAACAAAUAUCCCAUCAAGAUCCGAGAAUGAGUCACUUCACCAAGAGUUAAAAACCAUUGGAUUUUCAAUGUUGGUUUGUUUUGUCUGUGGGAAAAGAUUUCUAACAUCUGGAAAUGCACCAAGACACUUCCACCUAAGUGAGUGUUCUGCUGAACUGACUGUGGACAGGUCUAGAACCAAUUACAGAACCUGAAUACUAUCACACUGUUCACGGGGGGAGAAACUGUAGCCCUGUCCUAUGGACAAGGUGUUAGCUGAUCACCCAAUAUGGAGAGACAUAACGACGCUUGCACCACAGAGAAACCAUGGAAAUGUGCGGACUGUGGGAAGGGAUUCAAAUACCCGUGCUGGCUGGAAACACAUCGACGCGGUCACACGGGGGAGAGGCCGUACACCUGCUCUGUUUGUGCGAAGGGCUUCAUUCAGUCAUCUGACCUUGAGAAACAUGAACGUAGUCACACUGGAGAAAGGCCAUACACCUGUCCUGAGUGUGGGAAGGGAUUCACUUGUUCAGCUAACGUGCUGACACACCGGAGAGUUCAUGCUGGGGAGAAGCUAUUCCCCUGCUCUGAGUGUGGGAAGGGAUUCACACAGUUAGCCCACCUUAAGGCACACCAACUUGUUCACACUGAUGAGAGACCUUUCAAAUGUUUGGAAUGUGAGAAAAGCUUUAAAAGCAGACGUGAUCUGCUGAUACACCAACACGUUCACACUGGGGAGAGGCCAUUCCCCUGCUCUGAGUGUGGGAAGGGAUUCUCUCAGCAGUCCCACCUUAAAGCACACCAACUUGUUCACACUGAUGAGAGACCUUUCAAAUGUGCAGACUGUGAGAAGAGCUUUAAAAGCAGACGUGAAGUGCUGAUACACCAACGCAUUCAUACUGGUGAGAGGCCAUUCCUCUGCUCCAUAUGUGGGCAACGAUUUGUCCAAUCAAACAGUCUUCUGCGACACCAGCGAAUACACACGCGUGAGAAGUUAUCUGCUCCGUCGGUGGGAAAGGAUUUACUCAGUCAUCCCACCUGCUGAGAUACCAGCGAGUUCACAAGUAACUGCAGGGCAGGCAUCUGUUGCUGUUGUUGUUCCUAACAGAACUGUGAUCCAGCCCCCUGGUGGAUAGGCUAUUGAUGUGAUGGAGGAUUGAUUCACCUCCCACCAGGAAGUAGAUGUAGUGGAACGGGGAAAUAUGGGGGGCUUGUGAUGUGAGAUUGUGAGGCCAGCAGAGGCUUAUGCUGUGUCAGAAAGAGAGACCUUGUGACUGAUUCAUCACGUUUUAAUUCAUUCAUUCAAAGUGUGUCCCAUUGCAGGCAGAGCUGGGCCCACAAACACAUUGAUAAACAGAGAGGCUCAAAACCAUAUUCAUAGACUCAUACUGAUACAUAGGCACAAAACCAAAUUCACAGACACAUAAAUGCAAACAGAGACAUAGAGACUCACAGGCACGCACUUCCCCUGGGACGCAGUGUGUCACAUCGCAGGUAGUGUUGUUCACACUGACAAACCCAGACACACAAAAAGACACAGAGACAAACUCUGAGACUGAAACACAUGCAGUUGAAGUGAGAUGCCGACAUAUAUAUGUAGACACGCAGCCGUACAGACAGUCACAAACACAUCCACAUAGAGAUACAUGCAGACAUGAUGUCUUCUGGUAUAUUGAUGGGCUUGUUUAAUAAACUCUCAAGUUCAUUUGUAAAAUAAACUUGUUAAUUUGUGUAAAGGGUCUGUUAACCACUGUUCAUUUGUAAAAUAGAUUGAUUCAUUUGUGGAAUUCUCAGAAACGCAUUAAAAGUAAACUUUCUGACUUGUUCAUUUCAGUCCCAUUUACACCUUAUGUUGAUCUGUGUGAAAA